CUCCCUGAUUCAUUAAUAGCAUCAUACGUCCCGUAAGACACACACAAGAAGGCCUGACACUUUGUACAAAAUAAGAGAUUUCUGAACUCAACCGUCAAGCACUGGAAGAGUGGGAUGCUCUGACGCUCGGAUACACUGCUCCCGAUGCACGGACAUACUGUACCGCAGGACUUCUCGACACUGUUUGACACCUUCGCUGUACCUUUGCAUUUAAAUCAGAUUCUUUCAGAACAUGUUAGGUGUGAAUGCACCUUAAGCCUGAUUGUGACUCCAUGGUUUCUUACGCUCUUUCUGUGAAAAGAUUCUGGAUUCUUGCCUACCCCUUGGAUCCCUCUGCCUGGCUCUGUUCUGUCUGCUCUGACCCAUUUUCUGUCUCCUUGAAAAAUGGGCACUAUCUCCCCCCUGGAAAGCUAAAACUGAGAAGUACCAUUACUCUGUUUAUCUGUCUCAAUCAGGCAUCACUAAACCCUGUUUUGGAGUGAUCCAAACCUGCAGUGAUGUCAAGCAAAACCAAAUGCCGCUCUGAUAUCUGCUGAGGAACCGAGAACAUCUCCCUUCCAGUCAACACGGAUCCUGAGAAGGUUCCAUCUGUGGGGCCCUAAGAAUCAUCGGAUAAAGCCAUAUCCGGAGAGCUGCACCCCCUCAGUAUCUUCUCAUCCCAAACCUUGAAGCAAGUCUCCCCAGAUCAUCCAAUAAUCACUUCCUGCCCACCCAGCACUUCUCAUAUCUUUAUCCUGGUGUAAUGUAGAAUAAGGUGCAGCUUGUGCCAGACCAGUCUAUAUAAUGGGCUGUGAUCUGUUUGAUUUUUGAGGGGGGCUGUUGGUAUGUAUACUGUAUAUGUGAUUAUGUUUGUGUGUGUGGCUCCAUGAUAGAGCAAGCAUCUUUAUGACUUUUUAUCCAGGGGUAUGGAUAAAUACAUGGGGUUGACUGCCUUUACAGUUUAAGUGGAAAAAAAAUCAGUUUUUAAUUGUUCUGGAUGUAAUGCAGUUUAAAAGUUGUUUGUGAUGGAACAGCUGGGAAAAGUAUGUUCCCUGGUUAGCUGGGAUCUGUGACAAUGUGUCUGGGCCUUUUCUGGAAUCAUGCAUCAUAAAACGAGGGCAGAUUUCUUUCAUAGUAUCUCACAAUUCCUGGUGCUUCCCUCAGCACCUGUCCUUCUUAUUCUGUGAAGGGCAGCUCCCCUACAACACUGUCACACUUGUAAAAAGAAUGUUUCAAUGGGGGCCCUGUAGAAGUUUGUGCAGGGAUAAAAAGAGAGACUAGUCCAUUUAAGCUUUCCAAAAAAUAAGAGCCGUUGUUUUGCUUUCUUCAUCAGGUAAAAGGUCCAGGAGAAUUCAAAAGAGGAAGUCAAAUGUAAAUGUUACUAUAAUUAGGCUUUCCAGAUGCUCCACUGCUUUCCUAUAUAUCUAGAGAGAAGCAUAGGUUAGGUUUUCAUGUCCAGUCUUGCCUAAAUGAGCCUUUUUAGGUGAUUUGUAGUUCAGAUGUCACUGUCAUUACAUAAAGCCUUGCUGAAGUGCAAAAACAAGAUGUGCAACAAAACUACAAAUUAGGUUUUACUGAAUUUACAUACAUACAAGAUUCUCCUUAAGAUGUGGUUUCCAAAUAUUUAUAUUGUGUACAUUUUUGUCCAGUAGGUCAGAAAAAACAUUCUGUUCCAUCUCUACCUACCACAAUCGAUCUAAAUUAUUGUAAUCUUGUGUUAUUUUUACACUUUAUUGGCUGUAAUGGUCAGACAGUUGAAGCCUCUUCCCACACCUUUCUGUUUUUUGCUAAGUCUAAAUGCCAGAAAAAACAAGGCAUCCAUUUCAGUGCUGUCCAAAGCCUUUACACUUUGGUUCACCACAACAAAGUUCUCCAUAAACAAAAAAAGAACAGCUUCAGAUGCUCUGUAGCACAUAACUUUAAUUUCAAAUUGCUGUUCAACGGAGGAGAAAUUAUAAAAAAGAAAAAAAAACACAACAGUUUGAGUUCAAAGUUGCCCAAUUAUGAUUUUGAAAGUUCCUGUGACUCAGAACAAUGAAACAGCUGCAAACUUCUCUGUGGAUGACGAGAAAACACAGAGAUAACAGAAAACACGUGCAAAAGUUCAUGCUCUCAGAUUUUACUCAUGUAGAGAUUUUACUUAGGAAGACCCUUUUUGUCAGUUCCCUCUGUCAGAACUCCUCUGCUCUAUGUGGAGAGAGAAGCUUCAAUUUGGAAGACCAAUGGGGCUUAAGGUAAUCUGGAAAUAAAAUUGACAAAACUGUCUUAAGAUUUCUUUGCUAAGCUUGUAGCAUUGUUUUCAGGAGAAAACUUGAGGCUAUAAUUAAAAUUUCUGCCAAAUGUGCAACAAUAAAAUAUAAAACAAAGGCUGCAAAUAGUGACAUAAAUGUGACUACUUAGUUUUUUCACUUUUGAAAUAGAUUAGCAACAGUCUCAAAUAUAUUUUCAUACCCUGUUAAAAAAGGCAUGUGCAUUAAACCAAGUCAUUGGAGUCUCAAAAAUAGGAAAACUAAAGUAGUGUCUGUAUUCUAUGUAUGUGUGAAUUUUGGGUGCCUUUGUAAGUCCUCUAUGUGUUAUGGUUCUCCCCA